rnacentral:rRNA from 1 species
AAUCAACGCUGGCGGCGUGCCUCAGACAUGCAAGUCGAACGAUUAAAGCUCUCUUCGGAGAGUGUAUAGAGUGGCGCACGGGUGAGUAACACGUAAGUAAUCUACCUUUGAGUGGGGAAUAACAGUCGGAAACGGACUGCUAAUAACCGCAUAACGCAGCGGCACCGCAAGGUGACAGUUGUUAAAGGAGCAAUACCGCUUAAAGAAGGAGCUUGCGGCAGA